rnacentral:lncRNA from 1 species
UAGAGUAUUAGUUGAGCAAUUCUACAGUGCCAGACGAGGGCUGUCUGCCUCAAGCUGUCGGGACAGGCACAAGGCCACGAGAAGCGCAAGCGACGCGCAGGCUUGGUGCGGCCGGCUUUUAGUAGAUAAUAGUAUUAUGUUGACAAGGGUCCCGCGGCCGAAUAGCGAGCGCUAGGCGGUAGGCCUAGCGCUGGGCCUAGACGGCUGAGAACUUUGCGGAUGCGCAAGAGAACGCCGCUGGUGAAGCGCGGCUGUGUUUGGGAGCUGAAAGGGUAUUAGUUGCGCGCAGCGAUGCGGACGCUGGCGCGGUGUGCGCGUAUGGGGCCCGAUGGGCCUUUAGUGAAGUUGGUAGCACGUAGGCCUCUCGGUGCAGUUGCGUAGCACUUGCGGUUUGGGGCCUAGGCCCGUACGACCUGUACGGGUCCCAUCCGGCCAAUGCAGGGGCCGAGGGCAAGAUAUAAGCGAGCGAGCUGUGCUGUGUCAGUCACUCCGCCACUACGGCGCGGUCACUCCUGAGCAAUCAUAGGAGUCACUCUCAACAAGACUCUUUAAUUACGAGUCUCUAGUAUUGUAAUACAAGUUGGACAAAGAACGAUCCCUUGUAUCGCGGCCCCUUGCGCCCGGCGCGAAGUCGCCCGCUCGCGCAAGUCUAGGCUAGCCUUUCCCCUCCCCCACAGGGUGCCUCCCGGCACGACCAAGUACCCGUUCGAAGCCCCCUUCCCCCUCCCCUUACUAUCUCUCACCUACUCCGGUUCAUCCGAGCCCCAGACUCUCCCCUCUCCCCUACCCCACACCGCUGUGCCUGUUGCCCCCGACCUAUCCCCGUAAGUCCUGAGCCGUUACCCGCAGCCCGUCAGUGAUAGCCAAGGCCCCUGCCCACACUAGGGUCAAGAGUACCCCUACCCGCAUAGCGUACGCCAGUGAAGAGCCUCUGCGCCGGGUUGCAUACGUGUAGUGUCUGGCAGCGAUUAGGUACAGCAGCUGAUAGCAGGGCGAGCUGGGAGCGAGCCAGAGCAGGGUCCGGUUCGGUAGUUGGGCCUGAGCCCGUUCGGUUAGUGGCAGUAGCAGGGAGUGAGGGAGACAGAGACGGGCGUCAGAUAGCGUGAGAUAGUACAGGGCCUGGGCCUAGGCAGUGGGGCGGACGGCAUUGGACCGGGCACGCACGCCUUGUCUGCGGGUUGGGUCGUCGGGGGCUCUCCCCCCCCUUCCCUUGGGGUGUUCGCCUCCCCUGCCCCAGAUUGCAGGUCGACUGCGACACCUCUGGUCUGAAGAAGUUUUGCUUAUCCCUGCACCUGGUCUACCUGACCUGCGUGUGACCAAGUCCCCGACACGCCGUGCCGGCUUGCGGGACCUGCUUGCUUUCCUGUCUCCCCUCUCUUCUCCCUUCCUGUCUCUACCACCCGCCGCGUGCCCCGCACGCGAAGGGGAACUCCAGCUCCCGCCAGCGGCGGUGACUCUACUCGGGCAACCCGACCGACCUUAUCUCUCUAAUCUCUGAUUACCCUGGGCGGCAAGGUUGAGUGAGACAGCCUUUGCCAUGGCUGUGCGCCUGCACGCACGCCACCCAUCCGGCUCUGUACGAGCCCCUGCUCCUGUUAUCCAACCCGCCUAGACCAAACAGCGAAGCCCCUCCCGUGAGUAAAACAGCUACCGACGUCCCCAUACGGCGGCGCUGGGCACUGCUGGGAUCGAAGAGCCCCCUCUACGGCACGCGAUCUGCCCCGACAGCUAUUGACACGCGGCGAUAAAGUUAGGCGAAAAAAGUGUCCUGUCAUCUCUGGGGGGUCGGCACGCCUUUGUUGGUUUCGCUACCGGGACUUCUUCCAUCCCCCAGUAGCCACUCAUGUCAGACGAAGAUGGCUUUCCCCGCCGAGCGCGGCCUAGCGCUUUCCAUACCGAUCUGCAAGGACUUGACUAUGAACGUAUCACCCAACACUGCGAGCGCUUCGACCCGCAGUGGCAUUCUGUGCGUGAUUGGCUGGAGUCCGUAGAUGAGUUGGCAGAGGAAUUCGGUUGGACUGAGUCACGAAAGCUCCAACUUGCCUCUAAACGGCUUGGCCCCACGGCCAAGGAGUGGUACCGGUCAUGGAAGCUAGCCAACCCCAUGGCAUCGUCCACUUGGGAGGGCUUCUGUGACGCCCUGCGCGAGCGCUGGGGUGUGUCAGACCGCGAGCUGCAUCUGGCCCUCGCCAACUGCACACAAGGCCCCAAGGAGACGGUGCGCGAGUACGCCGACCGUUACCUGGGCCUCGUGACCCAACUGCGCCUCGACUAUAACCGUGACCCUACCCACAUGCACAACUUCAUGAGGGGCUUGCAUCCCGACAUCUACGACUCCGUGUACGACAUGGAGCCGCACAACCUAACCGCUGCCAUCCGCAAGGCGAUCUACGCCAGCGAGAAGGGCAAGCUGUCCAAGGCCGACGGCCGAUCUGACAGCGAGGAGCGGCGAGUGCGCUUUGCUGAUCGAUCGCCCAGCAACGAGCCACGCCACAGCAAUGGCUCUAGCACCGCUCCUCCCCGCUACAGCCGGCCCUUUGCCGCAACUGUUACUGUUGUCAUCCCCACUCAACCUUCGCCCGCAUUUGAUUGCCCUUGCAGCGCCCUCACCCCGCAACUGUUACUGUUGUCAUCCCCACUCAACCUUCGCCCGCAUUUGAUUGCCCUUGCAGCGCCCUCACAGAUGCACAAGUAUAGCUGCCGCUUCCUUGGGGCAGCGACCCUCCGGGUCGGUGAUUAAAGCUAAUUGGCAUGACCGCCGAGACAGCCGGGAUACCCGGUCGGACCAAGGCCCACGCAUGGCCAACCGAGGGCCUAACAACAGCAGUGCUGGGCGUGGGGGCGGCGGGGUUGAAGACCUCAGCAACCGCAUGUCACGCAUGCAGCUGCUGCACCGCCGCACCCCCAGCCGCACCCUGCUGUUCCAGGCGGCCCGCCCGCUCUACAGCCCAUACAGGGACGCUUACGCCCUGGGCUACGAGAGCGAGGACAGCGGCGGUGUCAUGUCACCGCAAGGCCCAACCACCGCUCCCGUCUCCUACUACACUAAUGCUGAGGCUUACACCAAACGAGUGGGCGACUUCGAGCCCAUCACCCUGCCUCGCAAAAGAGUGCCAGUCCCCAUCCCCGGGCCCGAGCCCAUGGAGGUGGACCGCCUAGCCCCUCGCCGCUUCACCGCGGGCCACGCUGACCAACGCCGGGAGCGUGAGCAGCGGCCGGCCGCUGCCGCCCCUGCCAGCUCGGCCGCUGCGCCGGCUGCAGGCGACGGGCAAGGCCUCCGUGCCCCAGCUGGGUUGGAGGCCCGCCCUACGGGACGGCGGCCUACCCCCGGGCGGGGCCGGACACAGGCCACAACCCCCGCCCACGCUCCAACCAGGGCUCGCAGCCCCGCGGCUGAUCCCGCCGCCCCUGCAGCCCGUCCUCCCCGCACGGACCCUAUUCCGACGGGCGAUGCGGGAGAAGAGGAGAGGCGAGUGGCCGAUGAGAUCUGCGCCAAGAUCAACGCAUACCCCAUCCCCUUGUCGCGGGCGCUGCGAGUCAACCCCGCAAACAUCUACACCAAGAUUGGUGGACGGCUGAUUGGUCUGGGGCGACAGCACUCCCGGGAACUGCCGACACCCGUUGCUGCCGCUCCACCAACCCGACCCCCAACCCGCGCCCCGGCUGCCGCUCCUACUACCCGGAGCCCCAAAGCAACCGCCCCGGGGCCCCCGGGCCACCCCGCUGCUCACGCCCACCGGGCCACGGCAGCGACCUUGACCCCGGUGGUAUCUGGAGGCGAGUGGGACGUGGUUGAGGCCGAGGUGCUCCUGGGCAAGGCCGAUGGCAAGUUUAUCCGUGCUCGAGCAGUCGUGGACACCGGUGCUAGCAACACCGUGAUUCCACGGGUGACGCUACGGCGCCUGGGCCGAGUGGAGGAUAUCGAGCCCGCCGAGCAGACCUUCACCAACGCUGAUGGGGUGAGGUCUGAGUCCGGUGGACUGGUGCGCAACCUGGUGAUCGCCACGGGUGACAUGGUUAGCACGGUGGACGCGUACGUGAGCGACGCCACCAGCUACGUCAUCCUGCUAGGGUCUGACUUCCUGGCACCCAUCAAGGCUGACAUCAGCUACCGCAAGAAGAUGUUGGAAUACACCAACGACCUAGGGAGGCGCAGUGCCCUUCCCAUCCGCUACCACUUUCCUCCGACCCCCAUGGCAUGCAUGGUGGGGCGGCGGGCGCGAGUGGUCAGCGACCCCCCAAGCGAGGGCGAGGAGGCUGCCGCUCCGGCCCCCCCAGCCCCGGCAACACGGAGCGCCUCGAGGCCUCGCCCCUCGCCGUUUGCGCCUUGCCAAGUGCCAGGAUAUGUGGUGCCCGGUCCGUCCCCGGUACUGCCUCCAGUACCCCCGCCGCUGACAGGCGCGGAGACCCUGGAGCUGGCCGGCAUCCUAGACAGCAUGCUGUCGCACGCAUCACCCACGGCGGAGACCGCCCGCUCCGCUGGGGCGCGGCGUGUCUGCAUGCACCGAGUACUGGACACCAUGGAUAACGGGUCCCCCAGGGCAUCCAGCCUCAGCAGUCACCCUCGUGAAGACUGGCCCUUGGACAUGGAGGCUGAACUGGACGCCCUGGUAGCUGGGCGGCCCAUGGAAGACACGUCCAUCGACGAGCAACGGUGGCAAGACAUCCAGGAUGGCCGGGCUCCCCUGCCCCUGUCCCAACCUCGCAGCCCAGACCGCAGGGCUCCCAACCCCAGCGGCGGUACCAAUGCUGGGCCCCUGACCGAGCAGGCCAACUCUUUGCAGUACCCGCCAGGUGACCCAGUAGGUUCACCGGACGGGCAUGAGGAGGCUCAGCGACUGCUAACGGAAUUGGCGGCUGGGCAGGGCUCACCCGAAAAGGUGGCAAGAGUGGCUCGCAUCCUACACUGGACGGCGUCACGAGAGCUGCAGGUGUUGCAGGCCGCGGCAUUCCUAGCCGGGGCCCGCGAGCUGGCGCGCGAGAGCAGCACCGACUCCCACACCGAUGACACGUGGUGGGAGGAUCUGCCAUUGGGCCCACCACCGCGCUCCGUAAGCAGCACGGUAACUACUGAGCUGGAUCCGAACCCCUCGGCCAACACCCAGGAGGAGGAGGGUGCUACUGAAGAAAAUGAGGAGGGGGCUACCCGCCCCAACGAUCCCUGCAAGCCUCCUCCGGCUUGUGGCUAUGACCCUGAGGGGGACGCAGGAGGGGCGGCUCCCCCUUCCCGGGCUUUUCUAACCCGCCAGGGCCAGGAGAGCGGGGUAACAUGGGAUGACUGCGAAGACCCCUUUCUCCCGCCCCUGGAUCCACUGAGCAUGCCAGGCGACUCGACACCCGACGAUGCGAGCGCACCAACCUUCCAUGCGGAUUAUGUGUCUGACACCGAAUCUGACGGGCCUCCAUCACUUAUGGACGCCAGCGACUCCGGCAGCGACGAGGAAAGCAGGGGCGAGGAGCCAGCCCUCCCCCGGCGGGCCUCUCACUACCCCCGCUUCCUCGUCAGCUACUCGGCCUAUAGGGGCCAAAACCCACACGAGCCGGGCCACUCCCGCGUCUGCGUGGCCCUAGGCCGGCAAGACGGCUUCCUGUCUGACGUGGCUAGCGGCAGCACCUUAUCCGCGGGCUACGAGGCCCCUCUGCUGGAUUCAGAUUCAGGGAGCGGGCCGCCCUCCCCAGUCACCAGCGCUCACUUCGCCUCCCCUGCACCGUCCGGGGCAAAACUGGAUGCCUCAGGCACGCCCCAAACCCCACGCACGUCCCUCCCCACGUUGGCCGACGUGCUGCUACAGCGGCCCACCAAGGAGGAGGUGCUGCGCUUGUCCCCAACCCAGCACCUGCUGGCCGCUCGGGAAUAUGGCCAGCGCGUGAGGGGCACACAGGGAGAGCUUCCGGCUGACGACGAGCGGCGGCAACUGCUACUCGCAACCCUCAGCCCGGACCUGACUCCGGAGCACUCAACCGCUCUGGCGAAGGUGCUCUUGGACAAUUACGACGUAUUUGCAGCAUCCAACCAGGACCUGUCCGUCACCAGCUGGCUGGAAGCGAGUAUCGACACCGGGGAUGCGGCACCAGUGUGCACCAACCCCUACCGGCUUAGCAAGGGCGAGCGGGACGCGCUGGAGGCAGAGGUGCAGAAGAUGCUGGCCUCUGGGGUUAUCCAACCCAGCUCGUCGGAAUGGUGCUCCCCCAUGGUGAUGGUGAAGAAGCGGCCGGCAGGCAGCGACAAGGCCGGCGGAGGCGCCGCGGACGCGCCCCCGGUCCCACCCCAGUGGCGCGCCUGCAUCGACCUCCGCGCUGUGAACGACUUGACCAAACCCCUUCGCUUCCCCAUGCCCCACGUCCAAACUAUGAUAGACACGGUGGCACCGCCGAUGGGCGAAAAGCGGAUUUACUCCACCGUAGACCUCAUCGCCGGCUUCUGGCAGGUGCCUGUCCGCCAAGAAGACCGAUGCAAGCUUGCUUUCCAGGCGCCCUCUGGGCUCUACGAGUUUACGGUGCUUCCGAUGGGAGCCAGGCAGUCCCCGGCGCUUUUCCAGCGCCUUCUGAGUCUGAUCCUGCGCCCUAUCCUCUUUUACGGCCCCGGAGAGAGCACACCAGGCAAGUGCUGCGCGCUGUUCAUCGACGAUAUCUGCGUCGCGAGCAAGGACCCAGUCCAGCACGCAGAGGACCUGCAGAAUAUGUUCGACUGCCUGCGCCUGGCUAACCUGAAGAUGUCUAUCAAGAAGUGCCACUUUGCGACAACAGAGAUUGAGUUCCUGGGCCAUGCCAUUUCGGGAGCGACGGGCCAGUACACCCUGGCCCCCCGCAAUGCCGAGGCAAUUCGCAAUUACCCAAAGCUAAAGACCGUGCGCCAGAUCAAGGCCUUCCUUGGUCUCGCGAACUAUUACCGGUCAAUGGUACCCAACUUUGCGCUUAUAAGCCGACCGCUAUACGACUGCUUAGGCAAGCUCGGUUACCAGUGGGGGCCUGAGCAGCAGGCGGCGUUUGAGCAAUUGAAGACUGCCCUUACGACUGAGCCCGUACUGCGUGCCGCCGAUGUCACCCGCCCCUUCCGGUUGGCCACCGACUUCAGCUGCAACGCCGUGGGCGCGUGCCUGUUGCAGCUGGACGACGACAGCCGGGAGUAUGCAGUCUCCUACGCCAGUAAGCGGCUUACUGGAGCAGAAACACGCUGGUCCAGCACGGACGGCGAGGCUUAUGCCGCUGUGUGGGCAGUGAAGAAGUACCACGAGUACCUGGCGUCAGCACGCUUUCAGCUGAUCACGGACAACACGGCGCUCACAUACAUCAUGCGGGCCAAGGACCUGACAGGCAAGCUGGCCCGAUACGCUUUACGGCUGCAGGGCUAUGACAUGGAGAUUGUGCACCGACCUGGAACGAAACACGGAAACGUGGACGGGCUGAGCCGGCUGGGGCACCUGGCAGAGGACGGGGGCAGGGAGGACACAGGCGACGCGGAGGGGUCUGGUGGCGACCAGGGGCUCAGCACCGAGCUGCUGACUAGCUCCGCCUCACCGGGCCCCCUUGCGGGCUAUGUCGCCACCGCGCACCGUCAGCCUAACGGGCGUAUGUCCACUUUCCUGGCCGGACGCUCUCUGUCCCAGGAAUUCGAGCAGGUGUGGUCACUGCCUGCCGCACGAAGCCACCGGGAGGUGCGCAUCUUCAUGCGGCGGGCGACGUCAGGGCAGGUGGGCGAGCAGAAAGCAGCCGGGCGGGCAGGGCCCUCGCAGCCGUCGGCGGAGGCGGACCGCGCCGCAGCCGGCCCGUCCACCACUCGUGAGGAUGGAGCGGCAGAGGUUCCAGGGGGUGAGGGGGCCGGGCCUGGCAGCCCAGCGGCAGCAGGGUCGGCCCCGCCCGGGGCUGAGCCCCAAGCCGGCCACCCUGCCUCACCCUUACAGCGGCUGCUGGCGAUGUGUCGCUCCCCCAACCCCCUGAGCCCCGGCAAGCGUAGCCGCAACGCCCCGCCCCAACCGGCGCCGCAGACCACCUCCCUACGCAGUCCGUCCGGGGAGCCUCUGCGCCGGCGGCGGCUGCCGCAGCCACCUGCGCACCUUCAGGACUACACCGAGCAGGGUGAAUCGGAGGAGGGCGAGAGCCCCAAAUGCACCCGCUGGCAGCAGGGUAAGCCAGAGUGGAACAUGCUACUGUGCGACUUCCCGGGCUGCAGCAGCGCUUGCCACACCACCGGCUACUGUGCGACAGCCGGCACCGGCGCAGGAGGCAUAAGUGGGGGCGCGGGAGACACGGCCCCACCCCCAGCUACCCGCAGACUUGUGCGGGUUAUCAGGCAUCUCAACCUACCCGGCGGCGCCCCCAACCCAGGCACCAUCGGCGCGCCUGCUCUUACCACGCCACCCGUGAACGCCACCACAGCAGGUCCCGGCCAUCAGGGAGCGGUCGCUAGGGCGACGGCUACAGCCUCUCUGGUGGCGAUCAUACUGCCGGCCGCCAUGGCGACGGCACUGAUGGCGACAGCCGCGUUGAGCGGCUUCACCAACCUCCCCACCGACGCGCCAGUUUACCGGCAGCGCCGGGGCCGCAGCAAGCUACAGUCAACCCACUCUGGGAACCAGCCUGCUUCAGGCUUGCUUCAGGCUUGCUUCAGGAGAAAGUCACAAGUUAAGGCUUCAGGAUGUUUGCUUCAGGAAACGACUAUAUCAGGAAAAAUGCCGAAGCGCUUCAUGAAGGGCCUGAAGCACGCACCCCCUGAAGCCCCCCGUCAGGCCGUCACCCACCCCCGCAACCAGUGUUAAUGAGAGGUGUCUAUAGACACCGAACUGUGAUCCCCCUUACCACCGUUUGACUAAGCACGCGCUCCACCAAACCUGAGCAUGCACCGAGCAGCGCCCAUGUCUCCACUUUCUACUCCUGGCCAUGACUUGAUACCUGCAAGCUAUGAGGUCAGUACAUGUGUGAGUCAUGAAGCAAAAGCUAUACUGUGGACAGCGACAAGCAUGCCCGACACCGGUCAAUACAAGUCAGGCACAAGCAAUGCAGGCCAAACACCAUGCAACUCAAACCCAGCAAUGCAAAGCAGACACCUACGACGCAUGUUGUGAGCGGGUCCCAAUGCGUGCGACUGCGAGCCAAGUCCUCACAAAGAACUCCGUCAACACAAGACAACAAGAUGAAUCUAGGACAUGGACGUAUACUUAUCGUCUGGUAAUGUAAGGAGAGCCACAGCCACAGUCAGCGACGAAGGUGACAGCGUUGACCACGUUGUAGCAGCUCCACUGGCCGUUCACAAGCAGAGAGCUCACUUAAUUGUAUUCCUGCACAUAUUUAAUUAUCAUAGAACCGUCUAAGAGUCAAGCAAGGCAGUGUCGGGGGUGACAAGAAGAAUGCUCGCUCAAGUAUAGCAAGUGGGCAUUCAAACGUGUUAGAGAAUUUGUUUUAGUAGUAAGGUUUAGAAUACAAUAGAGCGGACUAUGGAGCUUCAGAAGUUUUAGAGUCAGUUGCUGGCUUAGUCCCAUGCUGCACCCAUGCGAGCCGGGCAGCCUGCACCCCGUAAUUCUCACGCACGAUUGGCAGAGCAGGCAUGCAAUCCUUGCCCAAGUGUCUGGUGCUUCUCAUGUCUACGGCGCUGUGUUUAGGAAGGCACAGCCUCCUGCCGAUGGUGUAGGGGCCACGGAGGUGCGUGUGUGCGGUGCGUGGUCAUCCAUAGUGGCGGGUUUUAGGGUCUGGGCACAUGUAGGGGACCCAAGCCAUGGCCCCCCACGUUUAUAGUUAGCUGGUUAUAGCCUAUAUCCCACAAUGCACGAGUUGGGGGGCGGGCAGGCCCAAGCUGGUGGUGGCAAUGCCUUGUGUGGUUGGCGUCACCCAUUUUGGCAUGCCCCAUGCCAAAAAGGGUGACGCUCAGACGUGGGGCCACCGGUGUUGUGUCAGGCAGCUUGCACCCCGUAAUUCUCACGCACGGCAUGCAUGCCAUCCUUGCCCGAGUGUCUGGUGCCUUCUCAUGUCGCCGGCGCUGUGUUUAGGAAGGCACAGCCUCCUGCCGAUGGUGUAGGGGCCACGGAGGUGCGUGUGUGCGGUGCGUGGUCAUCCAUAGUGGCGGGUUUUAGGGUCUGGGCACAUGUAGGGGACCCAAGCCAUGGCCCCCCACGUUUAUAGUUAGCUGGUUAUAGCCUAUAUCCCACAAUGCACGAGUUGGGGGGCGGGCAGGCCCAAGCUGGUGGUGGCAAUGCCUUGUGUGGUUGGCGUCACCCAUUUUGGCAUGCCCCAUGCCAAAAAGGGUGACGCUCAGACGUGGGGCCACCGGUGUUGUGUCAGGCAGCUUGCACCCCGUAAUCCUCACGCACGGCAUGCAUGCCAUCCUUGCCCGAGUGUCUGGUGCCUUCUCAUGUCGCCGGCGCUGUGUUUGGGGAGGCACAGCCUCCUGCCUGCCGGUGGAGGCAUACCGUAUGUAGCGGCCAGCAGAUGGAGGACUACUCAAUAAAACUACUGUGAGCCCUUGCAUGAUUGUUUCACGCCACACUCUCUGUGGACACAUUGUUUACUUAUACAAAGUAGCUCGUAUGAUGCUGGUUCGCGAACAGCAGACAUUCCUGCUGAAGCAAUGUUCCUGAAGUGAGGCAUCUUACUUGAGCGAGGCCGUGCCCGCCAUUAAAGAACUGCCAUGAGAGCAUUACUCGUGUGCGAUCAAGUUACAAAGUUCCAUCAUUAUAACAUCGGAGACCAGCGGUUGACGUAUGGUAGGUGACCGUGAAUGUUGUGCGCAUCCUCUUCUCCAUUCUCUGGCAAAACCUGUGAUAACAUAUGUGAUAUGACGAAAUUACAGACAAGAAAUGCUUCAGUGCGCUGUACAUAUGUGGUGCUUGCGGCCUGUUGGCAGUGUCAGACCUGAAGCCCCCAGGGGGCAGUUCAGUACACCUGAAGCAGCCCUGAAGCAGCCCUGAAGCAAAAGUCGGGUUCCUGAAGCCCCGGCCAUUCCCCGAGUGACCCCGGGAACCAGACCAGCACCAUGGCGCUGGUGGAGGAAGACCAGCCCACCCGCUUCACCAUCCAGGUUGCACAGCUACUGGUGCCACACAGCACCAUGGCAACGGUGCACUAGGGACGUCAGGUGAAGACGGAGUCAACGUUUGCGGCGCCCUAGGGCCGCACUGGGGCGCGCGGCUUAAGUGGGGGCGGACCGACAGCUGUGGGUGCUUUGCACGGGGCGCCACCGCACGUUGACAGGACAGAUUUUGCACAGACGUGUUUGGCACGCACCGCACAGCCACGUAAGCAGUAAGCACAUAAGCCGCGGUGCCGACUGGGCGGAGCGGCAGAACGCGGCGGGGAACCAGAGAUAGCGAGGGCGCCGAGGAAGCGGAUCGACUUUGGAUCGAGCAGAAUGGCGGAGCAAGCAAGACCGCCUCUCUAAGCCUAAGCUUGCUAAAGAAGUGUUUGAGAUAUAAUAGAGUAUUAGUUGAGCAAGUCUACAGUGCCAGACGAGGGCUGUCUGCCUCAAGCUGUCGGGACAGGCACAAGGCCACGAGAAGCGCAAGCGACGCGCAGGCUUGGUGCGGCCGGCUUUUAGUAGAUAAUAGUAUUAUGUUGACAAGGGUCCCGCGGCCGAAUAGCGAGCGCUAGGCGGUAGGCCUAGCGCUGGGCCUAGACGGCUGAGAACUUUGCGGAUGCGCAAGAGAACGCCGCUGGUGAAGCGCGGCUGUGUUUGGGAGCUGAAAGGGUAUUAGUUGCGCGCAGCGACGCGGACGCUGGCGCGGUGUGCGCGUAUGGGGCCCGAUGGGCCUUUAGUGAAGUUGGUAGCACGUAGGCCUCUCGGUGCAGUUGCGUAGCACUUGCGGUUUGGGGCCUAGGCCCGUACGACCUGUACGGGUCCCAUCCGGCCAAUGCAGGGGCCGAGGGCAAAAUAUAAGCGAGCGAGUUGUGCUGUGUCAGUCACUCCGCCACUACGGCGCGGUCACUCCUGAGCAAUCAUAGGAGUCACUCUCAACAAGACUCUUUAAUUACGAGUCUCUAGUAUUGUAAUACAAGUUGGACAAAGAACGAUCCCUUGUAUCGCGGCCCCUUGCGCCCGGCGCGAAGUCGCCCGCUCGCGCAAGUCUAGGCUAGCCUUUCCCCUCCCCCACAGGGUGCCUCCCGGCACGACCAAGUACCCGUUCGAAGCCCCCUUCCCCCUCCCCUUACUAUCUCUCACCUACUCCGGUUCAUCCGAGCCCCAGACUCUCCCCUCUCCCCUACCCCACACCGCUGUGCCUGUUGCCCCCGACCUAUCCCCGUAAGUCCUGAGCCGUUACCCGCAGCCCGUCAGUGAUAGCCAAGGCCCCUGCCCACACUAGGGUCAAGAGUACCCCUACCCGCAUAGCGUACGCCAGUGAAGAGCCUCUGCGCCGGGUUGCAUACGUGUAGUGUCUGGCAGCGAUUAGGUACAGCAGCUGAUAGCAGGGCGAGCUGGGAGCGAGCCAGAGCAGGGUCCGGUUCGGUAGUUGGGCCUGAGCCCGUUCGGUUAGUGGCAGUAGCAGGGAGUGAGGGAGACAGAGACGGGCGUCAGAUAGCGUGAGAUAGUACAGGGCCUGGGCCUAGGCAGUGGGGCGGACGGCAUUGGACCGGGCACGCACGCCUUGUCUGCGGGUUGGGUCGUCGGGGGCUCUCCCCCCCCCCUUCCCUUGGGGUGUUCGCCUCCCCUGCCCCAGAUUGCAGGUCGACUGCGACACCUCUGGUCUGAAGAAGUUUUGCUUAUCCCUGCACCUGGUCUACCUGACCUGCGUGUGACCAAGUCCCCGACACGCCGUGCCGGCUUGCGGGACCUGCUUGCUUUCCUGUCUCCCCUCUCUUCUCCCUUCCUGUCUCUACCACCCGCCGCGUGCCCCGCACGCGAAGGGGAACUCCAGCUCCCGCCAGCGGCGGUGACUCUACUCGGGCAACCCGACCGACCUUAUCUCUCUAAUCUCUGAUUACCCUGGGCGGCAAGGUUGAGUUUUGCCACGGCUGUGCGCCUGCACGCACGCCACCCAUCCGGCUCUGUACGAGCCCCUGCUCCUGUUAUCCAACCCGCCUAGACCAAACAGCGAAGCCCCUCCCGUGAGUAAAACAGCUACCGACGUCCCCAUACGGCGGCGCUGGGCACUGCUGGGAUCGAAGAGCCCCCUCUACGGCACGCGAUCUGCCCCGACAGCUAUUGACACGCGGCGAUAAAGUUAGGCGAAAAAAGUGUCCUGUCAUCUCUGGGGGGUCGGCACGCCUUUGUGACCGACAUGCCCGUUAUAAGUGCGGGGAAAGAAAAUCAUUUACAGGCGGUGCCCAUUGCGAGCAAUAUGGAAGCGAGCGUUUUCUUGUCGUAAGUUUGCUACGCAAUGCACUUGUGGGUUUGUCUUAUUAGCCUUUGAUUUGUGACAAUUCAAAAUUUCGAAAAACCUUGCAACCGGUCGGACUCUGUGCUGCGACCGCGCGAAUUCCCUACAUCCCGACUCAGCCUAGACACAUUAACACCUCAUUAUUUUACAGCUUAACAAACGUUGAGCCUUUGGAUUGGGGCUCAGAGCGUUCCGCGCCGGACAUGCUGGGUUGAUUGGCGAACUAAGUCGCGCUCACCUUACUGAGCAUGUGAAUCCGAAAGCUUCCUGAAUGGUGUCAUACGAAUGGCUGCUUUCUGAUUUGGGCCUGUCCAGAGCCCUCCUGGUGGCUGGGGACUGUGGGGAGAUGCCCCUACAAUGCGCUGUGUGUGUGUGUGUGUGUGUGAUGGGACAGUGGUACGGCAAGUUGGCAAAGUCCCGUAGGGUGCAUCUAAUUCCC